AAUUCUCAACUGCCUUUUAGCAUUUAUGUUAAGGUGAAGUUGGAGUUGGAGGAUAAUUGCUGGCGCAACUUAGGUUGCUUGUUAGCUCCUCUUAAAUGGAUGAGCUUUUCUGAUAGAUCAUAGCUCAGUAAUACUAAUGUGAUAAUUAUCUACAUUAGAUGUGAAAGCUGUGAGUAGAGUAACUUUAAUUAUGAAGAAGCUCCUACAGAAAGGGUGUGUUUUGGGGAUAAUAAACCCAUAACUUAUGACAA
rnacentral:misc_RNA from 1 species